AGCGCGGCGGGCCGACCCGACCUGCCGAAAGGGCCUGAGGCGGGGGGCGCCCGGGUCCCAGGGCCCUGGGGAAGGACCCCCAGCCGCAGGCCGCCCCAAGUGCAAAGCAUUGACACGGCCCAGAGAGGAGAGGGGGCGCCCUCCUUCUCCCGCGCCCGGCGGCCCGGCAGCUCUGGCCCGCGCCCCAGCUUGGCCUCCGACCCCGCUCCCGGCCGUGGCGCCGCCCGGGCCCCUGCACUCCGGAGGGAGGCUGCGGGUGCUGGAAAGAGAGGCCGGUGGGCGGGCGAGUCGGGAGGCGCUGGCUGCCGAGGUCCCGGAGCGGAACCCAGGUGGCGGGAGCUGGUGAGAUUCUGGGAAUUGGAAGAACCCAAACAAUCUGCCUUGGAUGACACAGAGAGCCAGGUUCAUACAGGUGAGAAGAGAAGAAUCAUUUUGCAGCUAGGCUAACGCUUCAGGAUGCUUGGCCUGCUUCUGAGGGUGGAGAGGAAGUUUACACACAGCCCUCUGUCAUAGGAUUCCUAUGGUAAGGCUCAGAAUACACUGCAAGACAAACAGUAUCCUCGGAAACCUAACAACUCCUUGAAUGGAAAAACGUCAUGGAACUGUAUCUCUCAAGACAGGCCCUUCCAAAGAAGUUGUUCGGCAGAGACUUGGCCUCAGGGCCCGCGAGGAGCGAGAUGAAAACCAGCACAGUUUGGACAGUGCGGGACCCCCACUGGAGCUGGGGUACCUGGGGAUGCUUUCCAUCGGGCGUGGAGGUUGAGGUGGGUGGAGGACAGCCCACAUUAGGGAAGGUGAGGGGCAGGGAGGUCUGAGCACAGAAAUGAAAGCAAGGAUGUUCCUCACGUGGGGCUGUGAGUCAACUCCACUGGAGCAGGAAGUCUCUCAUGAAGAAUAACAGCUCACAUAAUUUCACAGAAUCACUGCAUAUUUUCACACAGUUAUUUCACUUUGAUUCUAGGAUCACAGCAAUUUGUACCGUAGGCAGGACAGACACUGUCGACUCCAUUUUACAGAUGAGGAUACUGAGGGUCAGGGAGGGUCUAUGACUUGCCUCAGUCACCUUAGUUUCUUGCCUCACAGGGUAGCUGUGGAACCAUCUGUGGAGGUCCUCAGUGAAUAGACCAACACACUUCAGAAAUAUCAUCGUGGCUGCCUGCGGUGGGCACAGAAGUGGCAUCAAAGCGUGGACUGGUGAUCCACCUUGCUGAAAGCUUGGCUAGUGCUUUGCUUGGGUCCCUUGUCCUACAGGGACCUCCUUGACUUCUGGCCUCAUUUCCUGGCCUGGCAGCCCACGGGGGAGGGGGUGGGGCUCAGCUUGGUAUCACUUGAAUUUAUCACACAAGGUGUGUUUGGGGCUUGUUCUGCACCUGAAACAGUGGGGUGCCCGGGAACUGUCAUUUCCUGCCUUGACAUGUCCAAGUAUUUGUUUAGCCCUGGCUGGUGACAUUGACUAGCAGCCCAGGCAUGGAAACAAAGGCGGAUGUAGGGAAAAGUUGAGCCGCUGCAGGAACACACACGGGAGAGCACUGAGGCGUAGAAACCUUCACAAUGAAAAUAAUCCCUUACACUCACACUGCCUUACCCUUUACAAGGUGCUUUCACAGGGCUUUCUCCCCUUAAUCCUCACAACACCCCUAGGGAGGAAGGCAAGGCAACUAUUACUAGUCCCCGUUUCACAGCUGAUGAAAUAAGUGCAGGGAGUUAAGUGGGGGGCAGAGCGUAGACCGGGGAACCCCAUCCUGUGCUCCACACCUGUGCUACUCAAAGUGCGGGCCCCCAACCAGCAGCAGCAGGAAGCCCGUUAGAAAUGGAGCCUCUCAGGCCCCACCCGAGAGAUGAAUGAAUCAGGAUCUGCGUUGAAGUCGGAUCCCCAGGGGAUUCGUGUGCGCAAUAAAGCUGGAGACUGCUGCUGACACCGCCCGCCCCUCCCCUUGUCCUGUCCCACCAAACAUUCUUAGAGUAUAUCUGCUUCUAUCUACUCAUUUCAAGACAAGGAAAUUGGUCCAGGGAGGGGACGGGUCCUGGCCCCUGACGGCAGCAGGAAUAGACAGAACCUUGAUCUUGCAAAUCAGUCCUGGGUCCCUUACAUCCAGCUGACAUUCAACUGGUAUCUCCUUUGCCUUUCCAUCCCCCUCCACACCCCACAGUUCAACCCUCAGACCACCCUCAUCUGCCAGUCACUCAGCCUCCCCCCUUGGUUCCAGCCUUGUGCUAAGUGUUGACACAAGUUCUAAGGCCCGGGGUUAACCCUCUAUGAAAGCAAACAGAGAAGUUCAUACCUCGUGCUAAGUCUAGGAGCCGAGUAGAAGUGUGUGUGUGUGUGUGUGUGUGUGUGUGUGUGUGUGUGUGUGUGUUUUAGGUGGGGAGGGCCAAUGCUUGGGUUAUCUCUGCCCUUUCCCCUCCAGCCUUCUUGCCUAUAGGAGAAGGCUGGGGAACUCUUGCUUGCCUGUGAAGGAGAUUCUGCUUAGGCUUUGUAAAAUGCCCACUUCAUUAGUUAAGUGUGAAAAUGUCCAAAAAACUGUGUUAAUCUGCUUAUGAUUUCCCCUCCACUCACUGGUCACACUCUGUGCCAAGUCUGGCACCUGGGUAAAGUGAUUCGUAUGCCUUGGCUGGAGCUUGGGGCCAGGAUUUCCCCUCCUUUUCCUCCGCUUCUACUCCACUGGGGCCAAUCAGGAUGUUAUUCAUUUCCCUAGUUGAGAAGCAAGUUCAAAAAGGCCAGCAGAGCCUCCUCUACCCCUUCCCUGUGUAAGCAAUGCCAAUCCCUCCCACGAGGAGGAAGCGACAUAUUUUGUUUCUGCUACACUCACGCAAGGAGCAGGUUUACAGAGUUAGCCCAGAAUGAGUGUGCCCGUGUGUUUGCUGAAACCUAUCUUUUUAUCUUUGGACCUGGGGUACACAGUGAAUUAGAGGAAGGGCAGAGCCAUCCAUAAGGGGAGAGAGAGAGAGAGAGAGAGAGAGAGAGAGAAAAGCCAAGGCGCCAAGAGGCCCUUAGGAGGGGCCUGGACACCUCCUGUUACCAUGUCAUACAGACACGGCCCUGUCAUCUAACCUUGAGUUAGAGCUAACAGCUGAACGGAAGAAUGAAUUUCUCAUUGUGCUUCAUUUGAGUUUUAGAAAUGCCUCCAGGGUAGAAAAGUU